CUGGUCUUGGGACACUGUCAGGUGGGCAGUUUGACUGGGGCGGUCGCCUCCCAAAAGGUAACGGAGGCGCGCAAAGGUUCUCUCAGUACGGUCGGAAAUCGUACGUAGAGUGUAAAGGCAAAAGAGAGCUUGAUUGCAAGACAUACAGGUCGAGCAAGGAUGAAAAUCGGACUUAGUGAUCCGGUGGUUCUGCGUGGAAGGGCCAGCGCUCAACGGAUAAAAGCUACCCUGGGGAUAACAGGCUUAUCUCCCCCAAGAGUCCACAUCGACGGGGAGGUUUGGCACCUCGAUGUCGGCUCAUCACAUCCUGGGGCUGUAGUAGGUCCCAAGGGUUGGGCUGUUCGCCCAUUAAAGUGGUACGCGAGCUGGGUUCAGAACGUCGUGAGACAGUUCGGUCCCUAUCCGUCGCAGGCGUAGGAAAUUUGAGAAGACC
rnacentral:rRNA from 1 species